rnacentral:rRNA from 1 species
GAUGAACGCUGGCGGCGUGCCUAAUACAUGCAAGUCGAGCGAACAGACGAGGAGCUUGCUCCUCUGACGUUAGCGGCGGACGGGUGAGUAACACGUGGAUAACCUACCUAUAAGACUGGGAUAACUUCGGGAAACCGGAGCUAAUACCGGAUAAUAUAUUGAACCGCAUGGUUCAAUAGUGAAAGACGGUUUUGCUGUCACUUAUAGAUGGAUCCGCGCCGCAUUAGCUAGUUGGUAAGGUAACGGCUUACCAAGGCGACGAUGCGUAGCCGACCUGAGAGGGGGAUCGCCAACCGUGGAACUGACACAGGGUCCAGCCUCCGACGGGAGGAAGAAGGAGGGAAUCUUCCGCAAGGGGCGAAAGCCGGAGGGAGCAACGCCGCGGGAUUGAUAAAGGUCUUCGGACCAAAAAACUUUGUUAUUGGGAAAAAAAAAAUGUGUAAGAAACUAUGCACGUCUGGACGGUACCUAAUAAAAAGGCCACGGCAAACUACGUG